GGCGGGAGCUGAGGGGGGGAGG
rnacentral:miRNA from 1 species